rnacentral:rRNA from 1 species
UGGGGAAUUUUGGACAAUGGGCGAAAGCCUGAUCCAGCAAUGCCGCGUGAGUGAUGAAGGCCUUAGGGUUGUAAAGCUCUUUUACCAGGGAUGAUAAUGACAGUACCUGGAGAAUAAGCUCCGGCUAACUCCGUGCCAGCAGCCGCGGUAAUACGGAGGGAGCUAGCGUUGUUCGGAAUUACUGGGCGUAAAGCGUACGUAGGCGGUGACUCAAGUCAGAGGUGAAAGCCUGGAGCUCAACUCCAGAACUGCCUUUGAAACUAGGUCGCUAGAAUCACGGAGAGGUGAGUGGAAUUCCGAGUGUAGAGGUGAAAUUCGUAGAUAUUCGGAAGAACACCAGUGGCGAAGGCGGCUCACUGGACGUGUAUUGACGCUGAGGCGCGAAAGCGUGGGGAGCAAACAGGAUUAGAUACCCCAGUAGUCCCUGAGCGGGCUGGCAAGGCGCAU